rnacentral:rRNA from 1 species
AUUGAACGCUGGCGGCAGGCCUAACACAUGCAAGUCGAGCGAGCGGCGGACGGGUGAGUAAUGUCUGGGAAACUGCCUGCUGGAGGGGGAUAACUACUGGAAACGGUAGCUAAUACCGCAUACCAUCAGAUGUGCCCAUAUGGGAUUAGCUAGUCGGUGGGGUAAUGGCUCACCUAGGCGACGAUCCCUAGCUGGUCUGAGAGGAUGACCAGCAACACGUGAGCUGGGACACGGUCCAGAAUCCUACGUGAGGCAGCGGUGGGAAAUAUUGCACAAUGAGCGCAAGCCUGAUGCAGCCAUGCGGCGUGUGUGAGGAGGGCCGUCGGGUUGUAAAGCACUUUCAGCGGGGAGGCGUUACCCGAAGAAGAAGCACCGGCUAACUCCGUGCCAGCAGCCGCGGUAAUAC